GACGAACGCUGGCGGCGUGCCUAACACAUGCAAGUCGAGCGAUGAAACCCUUCGGGGUGGAUUAGCGGCGGACGGGUGAGUAACACGUGGGUAACCUGCCUCAUAGAGGGGGAUAGCCUCCCGAAAGGGAGAUUAAUACCGCAUAAUGUAUUUUGUUCGCAUGAAUAAAAUAUCAAAGGAGUAAUCCACUAUGAGAUGGACCCGCGGCGCAUUAGCUAGUUGGUGAGGUAACGGCUCACCAAGGCGACGAUGCGUAGCCGACCUGAGAGGGUGAUCGGCCACAUUGGAACUGAGACACGGUCCAGACUCCUACGGGAGGCAGCAGUGGGGAAUAUUGCGCAAUGGGGGAAACCCUGACGCAGCAACGCCGCGUGAAUGAUGAAGGCCUUAGGGUUGUAAAGUUCUGUCUUCUGGGACGAUAAUGACGGUACCAGAGGAGGAAGCCACGGCUAACUACGUGCCAGCCGCCGCCGUAA
rnacentral:rRNA from 1 species